rnacentral:rRNA from 1 species
UCCAGACUCCUACGGGAGGCAGCAGUGGGGGAUAUUGCACAAUGGGGGAAACCCUGAUGCAGCGACGCCGCGUGAGUGAAGAAGUAUUUCGGUAUGUAAAGCUCUCUCAGCAGGGAAGAAAAAAGACGGUACCUGACUAAGAAGCCCCGGCUAACUACGUGCCAGCAGCCGCGGUAAUACGUAGGGGGCAAGCGUUAUCCGGAUUUACUGGGUGUAAAGGGAGCGUAGACGGCAAUACAAGUCGGAAGUGAAAUACCCGGGCUCAACCUGGGAACUGCUUUGGAAACUGUAUGGCUGGAGUGCUGGAGAGGUAAGCGGAAUUCCUAGUGUAGCGGUGAAAUGCGUAGAUAUUAGGAGGAACACCAGUGGCGAAGGCGGCUUACUGGACAGUAACUGACGUUGAGACUCGAAAGCGUGGGGAGCAAACAGGAUUAGAUACCCCAGUA